UAGGGAAUAUUGGGCAAUGGACGAGAGUCUGACCCAGCCAUGCCGCGUGCAGGAUGAAGGCUUUCUGAGUCGUAAACUGCUUUUAUCAGGGAAGAAAAAAGGGCGUGCGCGCUCUACUGACGGUACCUGAUGAAUAAGCACCGGCUAACUCCGUGCCAGCAGCCGCGGUAAUACGGAGGGUGCAAGCGUUGUCCGGAUUUAUUGGGUUUAAAGGGUGCGUAGGCGGUUUUUUAAGUCCGGGGUGAAAGCCCACUGCUCAACAGUGGAACUGCCCUGGAAACUGGAGGACUUGAGUACAGACGAGGGUGGCGGAAUGGAUACUGUAGCGGUGAAAUGCAUAGAUAGUAUCCAGAACACCGAUUGCGAAGGCAGCUGCCUAGACUGUAACUGACGCUGAGGCACGAAAGCGUGGGGAGCGAACA
rnacentral:rRNA from 1 species